GGAAGUUCACCUCUGUAUGCCAUUUCUUUGGAUAUCAGGCUCGAGGAUCCGCCCUUCGCUAUCACAGCCGACGCCGUUGCCGUCAACACCUUGCCCCCCAAGUUCCCAUCACGGAUCUCCUCCCCGUUUUCAGCUCUGUAUGCCAUUUCAUCGAAGGAGAUUGCACUAAAUGAGGUACUGCCUGUGACCAUUGCUCGUGAUGCUAUCCAGUACUCCCUGGAGUGGACAUCGUGGAAUCUCUACACCAGAUUCAUUACCACAAUCAGGCUCACUGUCUUGUGUUCUUUCCAAAUUUUGUCUCUAAUGUAAGCGACUCCAAGCUAGACAAUUUCCUAUCCAAUAUGUUGCUGCUGGAGGGAUGAGAGAAGAAAGGUUGACUGGUGUAUGUCUGGCUUCUUAGUUUGUUCAACUCAGAUAUUUAGCAACAGUUUCAUAUUAUUUUUGAUACAACAGAAAAGAGUCCGUUGCUUCAUUGUUCUGGUUGUUCUCGACAUGUUCACCCUGGUUGUCUGACACCACCUUGGACUGGGAUAUUAACUGAUGAUUGGUCAUGCUGCACAUGCAAUAAGUUAGAAGGAGAGGAAAAUGAACAAGAUGCUCAUGUAGCUGAUUUUUCACAGAGAUUUACAGGCAGUAAGGUGAUAAGCUGUUGACAAGAGAAGCAUUUGAUCGAGCUCGGAGCAUUGAUGCUUCAUUGGCCUUGCCAUGGGAAGGAAUGUCGGCUGAAAACCAUCACCUGCCUGGGGAUGGCCCGGUAAAUGAAUCUUUUGAAAGCUGCUUGCAGGCUUUGCAGAUACUACCGAGUUCCAGAUUGGUCUUGGAACAAUUGCCGCUCAUUCGGUGAACGUCUAUCACCUCAGGCUGGUCUUGCAACCGAGGCAGUGUGGGAGUGUGAAGAAUUGAAAAGACAAGGAUUUCUGAGUAUUGACAGAUUGCAGAUAUAUGCUCUUUCACUGUAGAAACUUGAUCGACAUGAUGAAGCUCUUUUAGUAUCAAGAAACUUGGCUGAAAGCUUAUCCAAUAUGAACCAGGAGGAUCCCAAACCUUGUUUUCACGCUUUAUUGAAAAAGCUGGGUUUCGGCCUUUAUCCAAAAAAAAAA